GCUGGUGUGGCUCAGUGGAUAGAGCGUCAGCCUGCGGACUGAAGGGUCCUGUUCAAUUCCGGCCAAAGGCA
rnacentral:tRNA from 1 species